rnacentral:lncRNA from 1 species
AUGAAGGUCAAAGAUUGCUGGGUUACCAGCCACAGUGGUGCAAAGGUCUGUUACAUUUCCCAGAAUGGUUCCCAGCGCUGGAGAUAAUUCCUUUUCGGAGAACCUACAUUUCUCACCUGCUGAUUGCAAUUAGCCACUGCCAGCUGGGGCCUGGUGUGCAGCU